UAUAUAUAAUGAUGAUAAAUAAAAAUAUGCAAGUAGGGACAUGAGAAAACUUUUAUUAUGUUCGAUAUUUUUACCUUCUGAUUAAA
rfam:Plasmodium falciparum MaliPS096_E11 unplaced genomic scaffold supercont1.148, whole genome shotgun sequence.